rnacentral:rRNA from 1 species
AGCAGCCGCGGUAAUUCCAGCUCCAAUAGCGUAUAUUAAAGUUGUUGCAGUUAAAAGCUCGUAGUUGAAUUUCGGAGUUCUACCGUUGGUCGGGCAAUAGUCUGUACUGGCGUGUAGAAUUUCUACCUUCUGGGGAACCAUCAUGUUAUUUAUUUAGCGUGGUGGGAAACCAGGACCUUUACCUUGAAAAAUUAGAGUGUCAAAGCAGGCUUACGUCUGAAUACAUUAGCAUGGAAUAAUAAAAUAGGACGGUGGUCCUGUUUUGUUGGUUUCUGAAUCACCGUAAUGAUUAAUAGGGAUAGUUGGGGGCAUUAGUAUUCAAGUUGUCAGAGGUGAAAUUCUUGGAUUUAUUGAAGACUAACUUCUGCGAAAGCAUUUGCCAAGGAUGUUUUCAUUAAUCAAGAACGAAAGUUAGGGGAUCGAUGACGAUCAGAUACCGUCGUAGUCCUAAACCAUAAACUAUGCCGACUAGGGAUCGGACGAUGUUAAUUUUUUCUUGACUCGUUCGGCGCCAUUACGG